rnacentral:lncRNA from 10 species
GUCGGCGAGCAGCAGGCGCGGCCCGGGGAGGCCGCCAUCGCGCUCCAGCGCGCGCAGCUCGUCGGGGUCCAGGCCGGCCAGCGCGUUGAGGCGCACGUCCAGCUGCUCCAGGCGCGCCAGGCGCAGGGCGGCUGGCGGCAGACGGCUCAGCGCGUUGCCCGCUAGGCCCAGCAGGCGAAGCUCGGCCAGCGGUGCCAGCGCAGCGUCCAGCGCGGCCAGCAGCGCGGGGCCGCCGCGCACCAGCGCGUGGUUGAGCUGCAGCGAGCGCAGCGCGGGCAGCCCGCGGAAGGCGCCGCCGCCCAGGGCGCGCAGCGGGUUGUGGCUGAGGUCGAGCGCCGCCAGGCUGGGCAGCCCGUCGAAGGCGCCGUCCUCCACCACCUCGAUGUGGUUGUGCGUGAGGCGCAGCGCGCUCAGGAGCGGCAGGCGCACGCCCGCCGCCUGGUCGCCGUCCCCGUCCCCGCCGGCGAAGGCGGCCGCGCGCAGCACCGUCAGGUUGGCGCCUACGAUGGUGAGGUUGCGCGCGUCGGGCGGCACGUCCCGCGGAGGCUGGCGGAGCUCGGCUCCCGACGCGCAGCGCAGCAGCAGCUUGGGGCCGCCGAAGCAGUAGCACUGGAAGGGGCAGGGUGCCGCGGGCUGGCUCAGCGCCGCCGCCACGAGCAGCAGCCCCUGGAGCCCCGGCUGUCCCGCGCGCGGGGCCAUCGCGGCCGCCCCCGCAUCCAGCGCCCGGGCCGCCGCGCUCACCAGUGAGUUGGGAGCGCCUGGUGGGGGGCACGGGUGGGGCGAGUCCUUGACCCGGAGCGGCUGGCAGUCCCGGUCGGUCCGUUCGCUGUCUCGAAAGUCUGAGGAGCCGCACUUACUGGCUGACUGGCCGGGGGCAAGAGGGGUCAGACGGGGAGCGGAGCCCCCCGCCCCCGGUGCCCUCGCCCUGCGCGCCGGCCUCCGGCUUCCGCGGCCGCUCCGGGCUCCGAGCCGAGUGGGCAGGGUUUGCCUCCCCCCUCCCCGCCUCCCGGUCUCGUCCUCCGCCCCCAGCGGAGUCUCCGCGCCCUCCUCGCCGUGGGAGGCGGGGUGGGAGGCUCCCGAGAAUCAGGGCUGUCGGCUGCUGCGCUUUCUCUUCAUCCUCUCCGCCCCCGCCCCUCCGGGCUGCCGAGAAGUUUGGCUCCUGGAGGCUCCGACUUGGUUUUCCUCCUCCUCCACCCCCAACAUUUAAGCUGGGUCCUUCCUCCUCCUUCUCCAGCACGUGUGGGGCGGGGCCCGACUGCGGAGAGCAGGCAGGUGGGUCACCACCAGGGAGAAUUCGGGGGUUGGGGAGGACUUUAGAGCUGCUCCUACUACCGGAGGAAGGGAUGAGGGGUGGGCUGAGAAAGUUACUCAUUUUCCGGCCUCUUCCUAAGGCAGAGAGACUGGAAAAUCCCCAGUCUCUGCUUCCUCCUCUGCGACCCUAGUUCCAUUAGACCUGGCUGUGUCACCACCCCUGCAGGUCCUAUGGGACCAGCUUUUUCUCCAUCCCAUCCCAUCCCAUUCUCAGGAGAAGUCUGUGGCACCCGCUCCCCUCCCACCCACCAACUCUGGCUGCUCUGCCUCUGCCAGGAGUUCCCCCGUGUGGUUUCCUCCACCGGGCUGGGCUUCUCUGCCAAGCACUGUCCUAGGCACAGAGACCCGGGGGUGUAGUGAUUCUGCUCUUUGCUUUCACUCCCUGCCCCCAAACCUCUUAAGACUCCUGGGGUUCCGUUGGACACUGUCAACUAGUCCCUCCAGGCUUCUCCGCCUGUGAGUGGGGUUUGGGGCACCAGAGGUUGGGAGAGCAGGAGCAGAUUUUGCAGCAUGGAGUUGGGGGUCUCAGAAGGGGCCAGGGCUGAGGGUGGGGGGGCUGAGCUGUUUACAGAUUUGUUUUGUUCUGGAUUUUUUUUCCCCCAGAACUGGGAAGCUCUAAACCUGAUUUAAAGAGACAGGCUCCUGAGAAGGGAGGAUUCCUGGCCUUAGCAUGAAUUAUUCAGGCUGGAGAGGCUGACACUUGAUCCGCAGGCCAUUCGGGUAUCAGCAGAGCUGGUUGGAAUAGAGGCUCCCCACCUCCUCCCAAGAAUCAGUCUCUUUCUCCUGAAUUGGGUACGGUUGUUAUGUUGACUCCUUCCCUGAGGUUAUAUUUAACAGAUCGACCAAAGGAUCAAUACCACUUAAGGAGAAGAGGCAGACCCUGCAGUGGCCUGGGUCUUGGGCAAGGACCAACAUUAAGGAACAGAGCUGGUGAUGAUGGGGGUCUCCCAGCUCUCCCCUCCUCCAAGCCCCUCUCUCUUCCCUACCCCCUGUCUUAACUCUCCCAGGUAUGAGAGCUCAGAUGUGUCUCAUGCAAGUCCAUGCAGACUCAUUCAUAUGUGGACAUAGGAUCGUAGGUUUGAGUGCGUCCUGGCAUGUGUCCAUAAAUUCAUAAAGACAUACAUAUUUGAAUAUGCACACUUCUGAGCCCAUGCAGGUUCGUGGAUACAUUCUCAGAGGGCAAGCUUACAGGCCCAUGCUUAAGCCAUGCCAAGCAUAGGGACCCAGCGAUUGGCUAGCACAGUCAGACCCUACUCCUCCUGCCCUGCACCAUGCCCUUGGUCUGUGGAGGUAACAGGCUGGUGAUGUCUUUUCUCACAUGGGCACACGUGCUCAAGUAGAUGCCACUGGGGCUGGGCCCCCAGCUAUAGCCCUCCCCUAAACCCCGGCCCACACAGCAACAUGCCCCAGCUCUGACAUCUCCCCUGGUAGGAGGCACUAGGUCGUUUUCACUUUUCUGUUUCCAGUAUAGAGACUAUCUCAGGAGAGUGUGUGGUGCAAAUGACAGACUGAAUGAACAGAAGUCUCUGUUUCCUUGUCUGCUUCCAGGCCCUGAGGAAUCAGACCACUACCAAGGCUGGAACUCCUUCCCCAGGCCCCGGUGGUGGCUGGCCUCAGAUUGGCUGAUGCCCCCCUCCCCUGCUGCCCCCCAGGAAAGGAGCUGCAGGACCACAGGCAGCCUUGAUUGGGGGGGUGCUCAACACCUCAUUUGGGGAAAUGAGGCCUGGAGAGAAUUUAGAAUCAUCAGGUGCCAGAGAAUAAGGCAAAUGUCGUCUGUUUUGCACAAAUGGGGAAAUAGGCCAGAGGGGCCCCAAGGCCCCUGUCAAGUUUUCAGAGUUUAGCCUAGAAACCUGACCCCAGGGUCCUUGCCCAGGACUCUGUCCAAGAUGGUGGGCUGCAUCUGAGAGGGUCCUGCACCACAAGGAAUGCUUAUCCUGACCCCAAGAAGCUGAGGCUGGGAAUGGAUGCCAUGGUUGAUCUGGUGUGACCUCAGGCCUUUCUCAAUCUUGGGCUGUCACCUUCCUCUUCUAUAAGGUAGAUAGGCUUUAAAUUCCUGUUCUUCCUAUUCCUCUCAGGGCUGUUAUGAUAAAGUGAGUUGAAAGUGCCUCAAAACAAGAAAAAACAUUUCACCUGGGUCUGGGGGCCUAGCACCCGUCCUGCCAGACCCUGGGUAAGGCAUUGCCCCUCUCUGGGACUAAUUAGCUCCCAUGUCAUUUUUCCCUGUUCCAUGUUCUUUCCUUCUCCAACACAGCAGAUUUGUGGUGGAUGUUAAUGAGUCUCUGCUUGUCUCUCUGUAUGGCCUCUACUCAGCCUCCUCUCCUCUCUUCCCACUUUGUAAAGGUGCUUCCCGUCUAAAUUCUCCUGGAACCAAUUUCUCUCUGUCCAAGUUCCCCAAGGAAUCAAGUCUGCGAGCCAUUGGGGCUGAGGGAUCUCUGUUCUUUGGAGGAACAGCGCUCUCCAUCUUAGAUUUGCCAGUGUUCAGUAUGCAUUAAGUGUUCAAUAAAUGUGUGUCCACUUGAGUCUGAGGCUGUGUGUUUAUUCUCUGAUGCAUCUGGUGGAAGUCUCUUUUCUUGGACUGUUUGCCCCAGCUGGGGUGCUCUCCUCUUGAUUCUGUUUCUCCAGUCCAGUCAGCUGUCCCUCAGGACUUGUGAGUUUUGCCCCCUUCAGGGAGCCCUCAUGGCUUCCCUCUCCAUCCUUUGAACUUCACUGAUCAAUUAGAGGGCUAAGACUCCCCUGAUCUUCUUGACUGUCAGCAGCUAGGGCUCAGGUCUGGUCUAAUUUCUUAGGGAUCAGUACAGAGAAGGCACCAGGGAAUAUUUGCUGACUGAAAUAAUGAUUUAAAAAUCUGUGACUCGAGCCUCUCAUCCCUAUGAGGCAAGCUCGGUGAGGACCCCUCAUCUACACUUCAUACCAGGAGAUAGCUGCUCAGAAAUGUUAAGUGCUUUCCCCAAGGUUGCACACCUGACUGGGACCUGAGCCAGAUAGAAGCUCGGGUUUCUUGCCCAUCUCCUUUGCCGCAGCCCCCCCUCAUCCUAGGAUCCCUCUCUCCUGGGAGUGUGGCUGGGUCAGAUCCCAGGGGAGCCUGUGGGCAAAGAGCUCACGCCCUCAGGGUUUCCUUAGGACUCGGAAGAAGCGAGGCACCCCUCGCCACCCAAGCAGAGUGAUCAUCUGCCCUUUGCCCAGAUGAGUACCCCUCAUGUCAGCCACACUGGAUCUUCACGCUUGCUUGAAUUUAUUACUCCACUAGGUCCCAGAGCCCUUCUCUUAGUAUUCCAAGGUGUUGUCUCUACCUGAGCCUCUAGUGCCUUCGCUGGGCCUUUUCUGCUGGCACAGACCCUGCUGUUGAUCAGCUCCACUAAGCCUUGGUAGGGAGCACAGAGUGUGAUGACGUCCCUGAGAUCACCCAGCAGGUAGCCCCUUCUCCAGCUCUGUUUUGUCAUCAGAGGUGUGUCAAUAUUAUUAAAGUCCUUGGACACACCUCAGUUUCCCUGUCUGCAAAAAAGUGUGUGUGGAUGGGAUGGUCCUGGGGGGCCUAGUAGUCUUGUGCCCCUUGGCAUUUUAGGGAUGGGGGUCAGGGAGGGGAAGGUCAUACUGGGAUUUGCCCAAGUUGGUGCCCCCACCUUCUCAAUAUAUGACCUUGAACUUGGUACCACCCCAAUUAAGGCCUUGGUUGCCCGACUAGAAAGUGGUAGGGGUGGCUGGGUGUGGUGCCUCAUGCCUGUAAUCCCAGAACUUUGGGAGGCCGAGGUGGGCAGAUCACAAGGUCAGGAGAUUGAGGCCAUCCUGGCGAACAUGGUGAAACCCCGUCUCUACUAAAAAUACAAAAAAGAAUUAGCCGGGCGUGGUGGUGGGCACCUGUAGUCCCAGCUACUCAGGGGGGCUGAGGAAGAAAGUGGUAGGGGUGGUCUGGGGUCCUUCUGGAGCGGAUGCUGUAGCAUCCUGAGAUCCAGGCUCCCUUUGUCCUCUGUCCCAGCAGCCCUCCUGCUGCCUUCCCAUCCCUCUGUUCCCCCCUCCUCCAAGGCAAAUGGAGGAGCAGCAGGCGGCCUGACGUGAUGAACUCAGCCACGAGGUAGUGGGGGAGGCCCCAGCUUCUCUCCUCUUGCUUGGCUUCCUUGCCAGCAGGGACGGGAGACUUCACUGUGGGCCUUGCCAUUCCCAUUUCUCACUCCCCCUCCCCUCCCCCACUGCUGUGAGACACAGGAAAAUCCAUAGGCCCAAGAUUCAUUUUCUCCGUUGAGUCAGCAGAGGCCAGCGCUGCUUCUGAGGGGCAGGCAACUGGCUUUUAAAUAACUCUCUGAUAUUUAAUACCCUCCUCCUCCGCUCUGUGGCCUGGGCCUCUGGGGAAAGGCUAGAAUAAAUGAGCUGGAUGCGUCCUCCGAAAGUCCUAAAUGUUCUUACCCCCACCUCAGUCUUCCCCCCAACCCCCAACUCUCAGACCAUUGGAAAAGAUGACUCCUUACUACAUCUGUACCUUGCUUUACAGUUUCUAAGUGGUGGCAGGCUGGGUUUGUUGUCCCAGUUUAGAAUGGGAAAUGGACAUUUAGAAAAGGAGAGAGAUCCCACUUGACUUUUGGUCUUUGUCUGCUGUUGGCUGGCUGUGUGGCUGUGGGCAGGUGGGUCCCUGUCCCUCCCUGGGCUUCUGUUUCCUCAUCUGUGCUGCAAGGUGGUUCGGCCAGUGGGUUGUUGUUGGUCCCCCUUGGCUGUGUAAUGUUAUGAUUUGCUGUGCUGGCCUAGGUCUCCUUCCCUAAUGAAGCCUCUGUUUCUCCACUCCUCUUCAAGGAAAGGCUAAAGGGCAGAGCCGACUGAGGCUAAAGGCCAGCUAAGGUCUGACCCCUAGGAUUCCACUCUGUUGAGUCAGGGACAGGAGUGGGUAGGGGAGAGGGGAAAGGGAAAGGAGCAGAGUUGGGUGCCUUCCCUUCCCUUCCCUUGUCUUCCCUUCCCUCCCCUCCACUCCCCUCCCCUUUCAUUAUUUCUUGCUUUUGCCAGUAGAGGUUGGGACAGACCAAGGGCAAUAACCUGUCUUGGUUCUCUUAAAACCCAAGGUCUCUACCACUGUGGAUGCAGUUUAAUGAGGUGGGAGCAAAACCCUCUUCCUCAGCUGUGCCCAGGCCCAGGAUCCUGAUCAUGGAAGUUAGUGGGCCCAGUUCUCCUGGUUUUGCCACUGUUCUGCAUUAUUCAGAAGACAGGGAUUGAUAUCUCUGUUGGCUAUAUGAGAACACUGGGAGGUUAAGAGCUGUGCUUGGGGUCAUCCCAGAUUAAUGAUGGAACAGGGCCUAUAAUCUAGGUUUUCUGAUUCCCAACUCCGUGUUCAUGCCACUUCCCUGAUUCAGGCAGGAAGUUGGGGCCUGAGGGGUGAGCAUGGGAGAGGCAGCUGGUUCUGUAGGGGUGACCUUUGUUUGCCCAACUUCUUUAGCCUCCUCUUGGGUCCUCAUGCUCUUCUUCAAUGUACUGAGCCUUCUGCUUCUAGAAUCACAGAAUCUUGGAAUCAAAACAUUGACUGCUAAGAACCACAGACUCAGAGAGCCAUAGAACUGUGGUCUCUGAAUUAGAACAAAGACUUAUGGUAUUGGUAGUAUGGUGGUGGUGAAUGAGACACUUAGAGCUUGUGGUAGGUUGUUAAUAUUGAUGGUCCCAAAUGAAUUCUGCGUAUCUGAGUCCAUACUUUUAUGUUGUCCCACCCCAUACUGACUUUGGGUUGGCCGUGUGACUUCCUCUGGUUAAUGAGACGUCAGCAAAUGUGAUGCAAGGAGAGUCUUAAAAAGUGCUUGUGCAUUGGGAUUCACCUCUUCUUGCUCCCCUGAAACUGCCAUGUGUAGGAACACAAGCAUGCCUUUUAGAGGAAGAGACCAGAAGUAAACCAUCCCAGCUGGAGAUGAACCAGCUCCCUGAUGGUCUUCCGCCUGCCUCCAGCCACCUGAGUGACCCCAGAUAAGACCAACAGAACUACUCAGCUGACCCGAGCCCAAAUUUCUGACUCACAGAAUUGUGAACAAAUAAAAUGGUGGUUGUUUUAAGUCACUAAGUUUUGGGGUGGUUUGUUACACAGCAGUAGAUAACGGAUGCAGAACCUCAUCAUUGUAGAAUCUUGGUCAUAGAUCCAAUAUGCCCUGACAGUCACAGCAUCGUGGAACCCCAGGACCAGAAACUGGAACCACUGAUGUAGAAUCCAAGAAACAGAAGAGUCCUGAAAACGCCUUAACUCCCACCCAAUGGUACCCUCUCCUUUCACUGUCAGACCAGGUGACCACUCAUCUUUCAACGUUGAGCCCUCUCCCCACCCACAGGUGUCUCUUAUUCUUUAGCGUUGUGCCCAUUCUGUCACAGUCUUCUGGUUCCACCCCUCAGCUGGCUUCUCAGUCCCUUUCUCUAGGAAGCCUUCCUAUAUCGAUCUGCUUGCUCUGGUCCUGGGAGCCAAAUGUGGACUUUGUGGAAAUUUAUCUUAGUAUUCAUCCCAGUUCCUAGCACAGUGUCUGGCCAGAACAUAUCUUGAGGACAACAACUGGCACCACCAACCACACUUCUCAUUUCUUCCUGCCCUGUUGCCUCACAACUGGCAGUCCUGGAUCUGUCCGUGGUCCUGAAUGUCUUUUUCCUUCUUGCCAGUGACUGCAUCAGACUGGCCACUUCCCACAUUCCCCACAUUCCAUUGUUUCACCCUCCCCCAUAUACAGAUCAUUAGCCUGGACUAUUAAAUGCAAAAUAAUAUGUGGUGAUGAUGAUGCAUAUUAAUUAGGAUUAGUUUCAACUAUAUGCGUCAGGAUGCCCACAUGAAUUUCUUAAAUGAUAGAGAAAUAGAAGUUCAGUUUCUUUUCUUCUCAUAAAAGAAGGUCCAGAUGUAGCCCAGAGUCUGAAUGGUCUCUCCAUAGUCAUGAGUACCUCACAUCCUUCUAGCCUCCCACUCUGCCUUCCCUAUAGUUCUCAUUGCCAUGGUCCAAAUGGCUGCUAGAGCACCAGCCAUCACAUCAGAUAGCAGAUGGAGGAAAGCUAUAAAUAAGGGUACCCCC